rnacentral:rRNA from 1 species
AGAUUAAGUUAUUAAGGGCGCACGGUGGAUGCCUUGGCACUAGAAGCCGAAGAAGGACGUUACUAACGACGAUAUGCUUUGGGGAGCUGUAAGUACGCUUUGAUCCAGAGAUUUCCGAAUGGGGAAACCCAGCAUGAGUUAUGUCAUGUUAUCCGCAUAUGAAUACAUAGUAUGUGAGAAGGCACACCCGGAGAACUGAAACAUCUUAGUACCCGGAGGAAGAGAAAGAAAACUCGAUUCCCUGAGUAGCGGCGAGCGAAACGGGAAGAGCCCAAACCAAUAGGCUUGCCUAUUGGGGUUGUAGGACACUCAAUACGGAGUUACAAAGGAAAUGAUUAGACGAAUGGUUUUGGAAAAGCCAACCAUAGAAGGUAAAGGUCCUGUAGUCGAAAGUCAUUUCUCUCCUGAGUGGAUCCUGAGUACGGCGGAACACGUGAAAUUCCGUCGGAAUCUGGGAGGACCAUCUCCCAAGGCUAAAUACUCUCUAGUGACCGAUAGUGAACCAGUACCGUGAGGGAAAGGUGAAAAGCACCCCGGAAGGGGAGUGAAAUAGAACCUGAAACCGUGUGCUUACAAAUAGUCAGAGCCCGUUAAUGGGUGAUGGCGUGCCUUUUGUAGAAUGAACCGGCGAGUUACGAUUUGAUGCAAGGUUAAGCAGUAAAUGUGGAGCCGUAGCGAAAGCGAGUCUGAAUAGGGCGAAUGAGUAUCUGGUCGUAGACCCGAAACCAAGUGAUCUACCCAUGUCCAGGUUGAAGUUCAGGUAACACUGAAUGGAGGACCGAACCGACUUACGUUGAAAAGUGAGCGGAUGAGGUGUGGGUAGCGGAGAAAUUCCAAUCGAACUUGGAGAUAGCUGGUUCUCUCCGAAAUAGCUUUAGGGCUAGCCUCAAGUGAUGAUUAUUGGAGGUAGAGCACUGUUUGGACGAGGGGCCCCUCUCGGGUUACCGAAUUCAGACAAACUCCGAAUGCCAAAUAAUUUAACUUGGGAGUCAGACUAUGGGUGAUAAGGUCCGUAGUCGAAAGGGAAACAGCCCAGACCACCAGCUAAGGUCCCAAAAUAUAUGUUAAGUGGAAAAGGAUGUGGCGUUGCCCAGACAACUAGGAUGUUGGCUUAGAAGCAGCCAUCAUUUAAAGAGUGCGUAAUAGCUCACUAGUCGAGUGACACUGCGCCGAAAAUGUACCGGGGCUAAACAUAUUACCGAAGCUGUGGAUUAUCCGUAAGGAUAAUGGUAGGAGAGCGUUCUAAACGUGUCGAAGCAUGAUCGUAAGGACAUGUGGAAUGUUUAGAAGUGAGAAUGCCGGUGUGAGUAGCGAAAGAUGGGUGAGAAUCCCAUCCACCGAUUGACUAAGGUUUCCAGAGGAAGGCUCGUCCGCUCUGGGUUAGUCGGGACCUAAGCCGAGGCCGAUAGGCGUAGGCGAUGGAUAACAGGUAGAUAUUCCUGUACCACCUAUGAUUGUUUGAACGAUGGGGGGACGCAGUAGGAUAGGCGAAGCGUGCUGUUGGAGUGCACGUCCAAGCAAUAAGACUGAGUGUUAGGCAAAUCCGGCACUCGUAAGGUUGAGUUGUGAUGGGGAGUUGGAUCAUGUAUCCGACGAGUCGUUGAUUUCACACUGCCAAGAAAAGCCUCUAGUUAGAAAAUAGGUGCCCGUACCGCAAACCGACACAGGUAGUCAAGAUGAGAAUUCUAAGGUGAGCGAGCGAACUCUCGUUAAGGAACUCGGCAAAAUGACCCCGUAACUUCGGGAGAAGGGGUGCUUUUUAGGGUGCAAGCCUUGAAGAGCCGCAGUGAAUAGGCCCAAGCGACUGUUUAUCAAAAACACAGGUCUCUGCUAAACCGUAAGGUGAUGUAUAGGGGCUGACGCCUGCCCGGUGCUGGAAGGUUAAGAGGAGUGGUUAGCUUCUGCGAAGCUACGAAUCGAAGCCCCAGUAAACGGCGGCCGUAACUAUAACGGUCCUAAGGUAGCGAAAUUCCUUGUCGGGU